AUUGAACGCUGGCGGCAGGCCUAACACAUGCAAGUCGAACGAGUGGCGGACGGGUGAGUAAUGUCUGGGAAACUGCCCGAUGGAGGGGGAUAACUACUGGAAACGGUAGCUAAUACCGCAUACCAUCGGAUGUGCCCCUAUGGGAUUAGCUAGUUGGUGGGGUAACGGCUCACCUAGGCGAAGAUCCCUAGAUGGUCUGCGAGGAUGACCAGCCACACUGGAACGGAGACACGGUCCAGACUCCUACGGGUGGCAGCAGUGGGGAAUAUUGCACCAUGGGCGCAAGCCUGAUGCAGCCAUGCCGCGUGUAUGAAGAAGGCCUUCGGGUUGUAAAGUACUUUCAGCGAGGAGGCGUUACUCGCAGAAGAAGCACCGGCUAACUCCGUGCCAGCCGCCGCGGUAAUAC
rnacentral:rRNA from 1 species